GUUUAGCCCCGAUAGAAACGGUAUCCUUUUAUGGCGGGGUUCGCCAUAAAAGAUAUAGUGGAUAGCGGGACUGCUU
rnacentral:sRNA from 2 species